UGUGGACCGCUGCUCGUCUCUCCCUCAGACCCUCACGACAUCUGCUCUCCCACGCGUCCUGCUCACACAGGAUAUCACUCCCUCAGUUAUUUCUUCCUCUAAUAUCUCACGAGCUUGGCUCGCCUCGCCUCUCUGCUCUCUCCUUGUCCUCCUGUUGCCGUGCUGCAAAACUAUAGCACGCCGGAGCAAUGGACGGGCUCAACUACAGCAAGUUGCGCUCCUCGCUCCGGCCUCGGCUCCAAGCGUUCUCCGGCGUCCUCUUCUCCAGUUUGCGCUCCCUAGACGGGCUCCUGCACAUGGCGUCUGUCGCCGUCUUGCAGUUUGUCCACGAUCCGCACGAUGAUCCACCAGUGCUAGGCUGCGUACACUUGACUCUAGCUCGCGUAUAUGCCUUGGAUCGAGCUCGCUCUCUUUCUCUCGUCAAGGACCACUUCACAACCUUGGGAAAAGACCUCACCGUCAUUGGGUACUGCUGCGAUGAUGCUGAACCCCGUCGUCGACAACUCCAGUUCUACGUCGCCGAGUCCAUGUUUCGGGUAGCAGGGUGUCAUUUUGUUCUGUUGUGGAUGGUGCCAAGUGCUGGUGGGUUCAGCCUUCUUAUAUAAGUAUAUCCCUUCUAUAGUUUCUUUAAUGUGGACUGUCACUUAAGCUAGCAUGUAUUUCAAAUUUUCAAAUAUUCUAUAACAUUUUAAAGUGUAAUCCUUUUGAAACACUUUCUUUUGUAAUCAACUCUGAUGAUAUAUAUUGUAACCCAAUUAUAAUUUGU
rnacentral:misc_RNA from 1 species